rnacentral:lncRNA from 1 species
GCCCUUAAAGAGGAAACACAAAAAUCCCUUGAAGAAUUACAGAGAAACACAAACAUUGAAGGAAUUGAACAAAACCAUCCAGGAUCUUUUGUUUGUUUGUUUGUUUUUCAUUUGUUUGUUUUUGUUUUUGUUUUUUUUUUUUUGAGAUAGGGUUUCUCUGUGUAGCCCUGGCUUUUCUGUACUCUAUAGACCAGGCUGGCCUUGAACUCAGAAAUCCACCUGCCUCUGCCUCCCAGUGCUGGGAUUAUAUGUGCCACCACUGCCUGGCAACCAUCUAGGAUCUAAAAAUGGAAAUAGAAACAAUAAAGAAAUCACAAAAGGAGACAACACUGGAGUUAGAAAACCUAGGAAAGAGAUCAGGAGUCAUAGAUGCAAGCAUCACUAACAGAAUACAAGGGAUACAAGAGAGAAUCUCAGGUGCAGAAGAUACCAUAGAAAUCCUUGACACAACAGUCAAAGAAAAUGCAAAAAGCAAAAAGCUCCCAACCCAAAACAUCCAGGAAAACUAGGACACAACAAGAAGAGCAAACCUAAGGAUAAUACAUAUAGAAGAGAGUGAAGAUUCCUAACUUAAAGGGCCAGUAAAUAUCUUCAACAAAACAAUAGAAAAAACUUCCCUAACCUAAAGAAAGAGAUGCCAUCAACACACAAGAAGCCUAUGGAACUCUAAAUAGAUUGGACCAGAAAAGAAAUUCCUCCGUCACAUAAUAGUCAAAACACCAAAUGCACAAAACAAAGAAAGAAUAUUAAAAGCAGUAAGGGGAAAAGGUCUAGUAACAUAUAAAGGCAGGCCUAUCAGGAUUACACCAGACUUCUCACCAGAGACUAUGAAAGCUAGAAAAUCCUGGGCAGAUGUCAUACAGACCCUAAGAGAACACAAAUGCCAGCCCAGGCUACUAUACUCAGCAAAACUCUCAAUUACCAUAGAUGGAUAAAUUAAGAUAUUCCAUGACAAAACCAAAUUUACACAAUAUUUUUCCCCAAACCCAGCUCUACACAGGAUAAUAGGUGGAAAAUGCCAACACAAGAAGGAAAAAUACUCCUUAGAAAAAGAAAAAAAGUAGUCUUCAUUCAACAAACCCAAAAGAAGAUAGCCAUACAAACAUAAAACAUCAAAAAUAACAGGAAGCAACAAUCACUAUUCCUAAAUAUCUCAUAACAUUAAUGGAUUCAAUUCCCCAAUAAAAAGACAUAGACUAACAGACUGGAUAUGCAAACAGGAUCCAACAUUUUGCUACAUACAGGAAACACACCUCAAUAUCAAAGACAGUGUCUGAGAGUAAAUGGCUAGAAACAAUUUUCCAAGCAAAUGGUCCCAAGAAACAAGUUGGAGUAGCCAUUCUAAUAAAUGAGAAAAUAGGCUCGGAAAGGUCAAGCUACCAGUUCAAGGUUCACAAAGUAAAUACACACUAAAGUUGGGAUUUGAGUUAGUCUUUCAAGGUUCAAACUCUUCAUUACACAACAGCAGAUGGAUUCAUCAAGUAGAAUGGAGUAGGGCUGGAAAAUGAUGAGGGAGCAUGCUAGAAGAGACAAGGGCAGGAAGUACAUCUAAGAGGCAGGCCUAAAAAGAGGGAGACUGAAAGGUGCAAAGAACUCUGUUAGUGCUUGCUGUACUGAGAAACAACAGCCAGAUACUCCACAAAGAAUGGAGCCACUCCAGUGCUUCACAAAGAGUGAUUUAAGAGCUAAAUGGUAUCUUCUGAAGUUCCAUCUGGUCAUUUGGUAACUUUGGAAAUAGUAGUGGUGAAGCAAGCACAGGGAGAAGAUAAAAAGGUUGGUAGCUCCCUUACCAAUGGAUUAGAAAAGUGAGCCAACUAAUUGCCCCCAGCCUGCCCUGUUCCCUGCCCUCCAAAAAGGUUGGCUGCAAGAAUGCAUUGGCAAGAAUGUAUCGAUGACUGAUGAACUGAUUAUUCUGCCCAGAAUCUCUAUCAGUGAUUCUCAAUCUUCCUAAUGCUACAACCCCUUUAACAUAGUUCCUCAAGUUGUGCAGACCCCCUCCCCCCCAAAAAUUUUGUAGUUUUAUUGUUUGUUUUUAACUGCUAGAUAAAGCUGGACAUAUUUAGGAUGCUAUGUGUUGUUUCUACACAGGUGUUCCUUGUACAGUGUUUAAAUCACUGUGACCACAUCUAUCUUCUCAAAUAGUUAUCAUUUCUUUCUAUUAACAUCAUUCAAAUCCUUUCUUGUUAAUUUAAAAAAAUACAGCAUCAACUAUAGUCACUUUACUGUGCAAGUAUAGAUUUAGAAUCAUUUGUGUAAGUAACAGGUAACCCAAACACAAAAGUUCCAUUCUCCGCUCACUUUCUUGCUUCUCACACUUUAUUUUAUUUACGUGUAUAUGUGUAUCUAUGUGAGCACAUGUGGGUCACCAGAAUUGAUUUUUCUCUUCUCUAAUACAAGGUAUUAAUCUCCCUACCCCCCUCAUUGUUUUUUCUCUUCUUUAAGACAGGGCCAUAAUCUCCCUAUCACUGCCCUCUUCCUACUUUCUUCAGCCUCUGGGAGCCACUACUCACUUUCUUCUAAGAGACCACGGGGGGAAUAAAAGAAAGAAUAAGGUGUAUGUGCAUGAGUGUCAGGAUGGUGCUGGAAAGAUGGUGUCUUAGUUAGGGUUACUAUUGCUAUGAUGAAACACUAUGACCAUAUUAUGUUCCAUCACUGAAAAAUGUCAGGACAGGAACUCACACAUGGCAGGAAACUGGGGGCAGGUAUGAUGCAGAACAUGCUGCUUACUGGCUUGUUCCUCUUGGCUUCCUCAACCAAGAACCCAGAACCAUCAGCCCAGGGAUGGUGGUCCCACCCACAAUGGACUAAGCUCUCUCCUCUAUGAGUCACUAAUUAAGAAAAUGCAUCACAGGUUUGUCUAUAGUCCCAUCUUAUGGAGACAUUUUCUCAACUGAGGUUCCCUCUUCUCUGAUGAUUCUAGUUUGUGUUCAGUUGACAUAAAAUUAAUUGGAAUAGAUGGCUCGUGGUUAAGAGCACUUCUCGUAUGCAUUUGGUGUACAUAAAUAUAUGUAGGCAAAAUAUUCAUAAAUAUAAAAUAAAAAUCUAAGUGAGCAUAUUUGGGCAGAGGAUGGUAGUGAAGCCCAUAGGGCUGGAGUUACAGGUGGUUGUGAGCUGCCUGACAUGGGUGCUCUGGAAGAUCAGCAAGUGCUCUUAAGUUCUGAGCCAUCACUUCAGCCACAGAGUCUCACCUACCUUCUCUGCACACACAGGGGGAAAGCUCAUCUAUGUAUUAAUGCUUCAAGGUUCUUUUUGUGGUUGUUGUUGUGUCCCUUUAUUGUUUGUUGUUGUUUUUGUGUGUCUGGUAUGCUGCAUACAAGUGAGUGUGUAGAUGUGCACACAUACUAAGGCCAGGUCAAGAAAAUGGGUGUCCUCCUUCAUCAUUCUCUGAUUUGUAGCUUGAAGACAGGGUCUGUCACUUAACCCGGAGCUCACCCUUUCAGUGAAGCUGGUGGAUUCUUGGGACCCUCUUGUCCUCUGUUCGCCUCCCCAUCAAUGCUGGGUUUGCAGGCAUGUGAAGCCUAUGCCUAGCUUUUUAAAGUGGGUGCUGGGGAAUUUAAAAAUUAUAUUUUAUUUAUUAUGUACAUUUACAUAUGUAUAAAUGUAUAAGCAUGCAUGUGUAACAGUGUGUGUGUAUGUGUGUUGGUCAUAAAACAAUUUUUAGGAGUGUGUCUGCUCUUUGUACCAUAUGAUUCCUCUUCAUAUGACAUAAUUCUAUCUGCCUUGAUGUAAUUCAUUAUUUUUAUUGGGCAUUCAAAUGUCAAGAAGCACCCUCUAAAUUUACUGAAAAGUUAUAGGCUACUUUAACUAAGCAUAUUAAUUUAACUCCUGAUUCAGACUGGAGGAGUAGUAAUUAAAGAUCAAUUCUUAACUUGGUCAGUCCCAGACAGCAGACAAAAACUGCAACAGAGUAGUUGCACAUAUGGACUCACUGAAGUUAUGACAAUGUACACUAGACCUGCACAAGCUCAAGCUGGACAAAAUCUCAGCAUGGGGUGGAGGAAGAAAGGUAGGCACAAAUUCUCUCUCCUACCUGAUAAGUUACUGGUAUUCAAUAGCUGCUGGGAAAGGGGAAAUUACUUUCCUUUAAGGGUGGUGUACCAUACUCCUAGGCAAGCUCCCCUUUCAAGAACAUUUGGAGAGGAAUAGCUCAGCUGUUAAAAGCACUGACUGCCCUUCCCAAUUCCCAGCACCCACAUGAUGGCUCACAAUGCUCUCCCCUGGUAUGCAAAUGUACAUACAGACCAAACACAUAUAUAGAUAAAAGUACAUAAAUAAAUUUGAAAAAAAAAGAGAAUAUUUGGGGAAUACAAUUUGGACUUGAUAGCUUUCAAGAACUCGAACAACACUGAAGAGAACACAGAGUUGAGUGGGUAUGCAGGUGUGGGGUAGACCUGGGAGAGAAGCUGGGAGAGCAUGAAACUGUUGGGAGCAUGAGGGGAGGGGUACAAGGAAAUAAUUGCUCCAGCUUCACUUUCCUCCAUCCUUUCAACCUCUGCACUUGGAUUCCUGGACUGAACCCAAGAGAAGCCAGGAUAAUGGAGCUGGUUGGUACAGUACAUGUGGUACAGUCUGUGAGGACCAAUAUUCCUGAACAUAGAAUAUGUUCAGGCCACGAAAGCUCUCUAGCACUCUAUCUCAUGAACACAUGACUGUACAGUCAUGCGGGACCAGACUUCUUCUUAGUAUGAUGCUCAGCUGAAGUAGAUAGUUUAUUAUUAUUAUUAUUAUUAUUAUUAUUAUUAUUAAUCAUUUUUUGGAGCAGGGUCUGACCAUGUAGGCCUGGCUACUUUGGAACUCAUUAUGUAGACCAGGUUGGCUUUGAACUGACAGAGACCUACCUUCCUCUGCCUCCUGAGUUCUAAGGUUAAAGAUGUAUGCCACCAUACCUAGCAUUAAGUAGAAGUUAAUGUUGAGUAAGGGCUGCAAAGAUGGUUCAGCAGUUAAGAACACUAGCUACUCUUUCAGAGGAUCCAGAUUUGGUUCCAAGUACCCACACUGUAGCUCACAACUAUCUGUAACUCAAGUUCUAGUAGAACUGACAUGCUGGAAUACCUGGUACUUAGUCAUACAUGGAGGCAAAGCACUCAUGCACAUAAAAUAGAAAUACAAGAGUUGAAUAAAUAAUUGCAUGCUGCCCUGCUAAUUAAGGAUAAAGUCUACCAUUGUCUGGGCAGCCGUCUGGGCACUGUGCAAAAUGGAAGAUUCUUUUUACUCGCAGAGCACCUCCUUCUCUGAUCUUGUCUGGGGAAUUCAAGCCCUGCCACAUGCCUGUAGCUGCAGAAUGUCAUGUAGCCUUGGUUAAGAUUACAGGUCCAACUUCCUUUCUUCUGAUAGGAACACAUUUAGCCAGCACCAGAGAUCCCUGGAAUGAGGCUCCAUGCUAACGAGGCAGCUCAGUACCAAUGACCUUUGCCCAUCCUGGAUAUUCUGACCCCCCAAUCUUCACAACUAUAUAAGCCUUGAAUAACUCCAAAUAAAGUUGAUCUGUCUAUCUGGAGCUGUUCCCAGUGUCAUCAUUACUAUACACACUCCUGUGGCCUCCCCACGUCAUCCCUUGUCUCUGCUCCCUGCUCCUUUUGCCCUCAUGGACAUUAGCUGACCAUCCACGAGGGAGGGGCCCAAUCACAAAAUGGAAUGACAUUCAUUCAUUUAAAGCUUAUCUAUAAAACAUUGUGUUCUUAUCAUGUACAGAUAUGAUUUAAAUAUUCUUACUUAUUUUGUGAGAAUUUAAUAUAUGCAUAGAAUAUAGUUUGAUCAAAUUUUCAUCUCUCAUACUCCCUUCAGUUCAUUCCAGACCCUCUCUUACAUCACCCUCCCGGCUUCAUGUUCUCAUUUUAUGUCCCACAUAAGUGAGUUCAGUUAGUAUUGUUUUUAAAAACACAAAUAAGGUUUUGCUCACUGCCCCCUUCCAGUCACCCCUCCCACAUUCUUUACUCCAAUACCCUCUUUCCUCCUUCUCUGAGCUGGUGGGGGCCCUCUGGGUGUCCCCCCAACCCUGGCACAUCCAUUCUUUGUGAGGCUAGGUGCACCCUCUCACACUGAGAUCGGACAAGGCAGCCCAGCUAGAAGAACAUAUCCCAUGUACAGGCAACAGCUUUUGCACUAGCCACCCCCUAUGAAGACCAAGCUGCACAUCUGCUACAUAUGAGGGGGGAGGCCUAGGUUCAUCCUAUGUAUGUUCUUUGAUUGGCGGUUCAGGGUUCAGGUUAGUUGAGUUUGUUGGUCUUCCUGUGGAGUUCCUAUCCUCUCCGGGGCCUCAGUUCUUCCAAGCUCUAUCCACUGCUUGGCUGUGGAUGUCUGCAUCUGUCUGAGUCAGCUGCUGGGUGGAGCUUCUCAGAGGACAGCCAUGUUAGACUCCUGUCUUCAAGCAUAAUAGAGUAUUGCUUGUUGCUUUUAAGUGCCCAGGUGUGGGGCCAUCCACUAAAUCAUAGUUAGCCAACCUACCUGGAAUCACAUCCCUCAUGAAAACUGAUUCUCCUCCCCUAGCAGUCAUCCAUUGUCAGUCACUCUUCAGUUAGUGAUGAGAGCUUGUGUGUCCAUUCACACCUGUGCUGGAAUGUUGACUGGUUUCUUAAGCAGCUCACAACAGCUUCUCUGAGUUUAUGAGUGCAGAGGUCUUGUUAUGUGCAGAAGUCACUGUUUUUCCCAGGUCCUUCUUAACCUCUGGCUCUUACAAUCUUUCUACAUCUUCCUUGAUGGGAAGGGGUGUGAUGUAGAUGUCCCACUUUUGGCUGAACAUCCCACAGAUACUUCUUCCGUGUACUUACACCAGUUGCUAGUUUCCAUGUUAGUCUCCAUGCACUUCACAAAGCAACUUCUCUCAUGAGAUCUGAGAGCUGUGCUAUUCUGUGAGUAUGGACAUACAUGUUGAGAAGGCCGUUUGAUAUUAUGUCCAUUGAUUUUGAAAACUCUAGUUCUUGAUAAAUUAGACAUUUUCUAAGUAGUUUCUUUAAAUUAGCAUGCAAAAUUAUGGGCUUCAUGACGACAUUUUCAUUCAUAAUUUGUUUCGGUGAUUCUCAUCCUCCAAUCCCUUUCCACUUCUGCUAGCCCUCCCCCCACCCUCACAGUAGCUAGCUGUCUCCCUGCCUUCAAUAACUGUACUAUGAACAUGAGUGUAAAGUGCUACAUUCUUCUCAUGCCCUCCCUGCUGGGGACCAAACUUGGGGCCAUAUGCACACUAGGCUGUGCUCUACCUCCGAGUUCCAUCUCUAACCCCUAGUUUCUUUUUAUUUUAUUUUUUUAAAAAUAGUGUUACAAAGUUGUUCAGGAUGGCCUUGAAGUCUCUUUGUAGUCCAGCUUUAGCUUGAAUUUGUAAUCCUUUUGAUACAGAUGGUAUUCAGCUUGCUGAAUAGCUGAGUUUACAAGCCUGUACCAUCAGAAGUGGCUUGGUUUUUCUUUCUUUCUUUCUUUCUUUCUUUCUUUCUUUCUUUCUUUCUU